CAUGGAGCUGAUUGUCCUUGGCAAACGAUGACUGCCCUCCUCGGAUGUAGUUUGGCUAUGGGCAAUAAACGUCGCACGUUUUACUUGUGACAGCCUCGGUGCGUUCGUGAGUGUGCGUUUACGAUGGGUAGUCUUGUCAGUGAUGGAUAUUGGGUAUUCAAGCUAUUGAAUUGAUCAUCCGUGUGGACGAUGUUAAAUUGACCGAAAACUAAUAAAUUUGCUUCAGUUUUCAUGAGGAUAGGUAAAUAGAGAAGAUAGAAAUAAACGGCUGAUCGCCAAAUUAGGUGUGGCCUGGUGAAUUAAUCGAAAGGAAAAUCUCAAGUCAUGAGUUUAUGAACUACAACUAUGAAAAUGAAAUGCAAGUUACUAAAGUCGUCCAGCAUUCGUGGAGGUAUAUUUGGUGUCUGACUACUGUGGCCUUAGUGAAACCAACGAGACAAAUAUAUUCUGAGGUUUUGCAUUUCCUGGAUUAGCACGGAGUAUCAACCCAUGGACGGAAAUUAACUAGCGCUGUUGGUUCAGGAGGUUUGCAGUUCCUGGACUGGAAUAAAAAGUAUCGACGGACGGACGGAGACUUGGAACUUGUGGUGGUUCUAGCCUUUUAACAUUGUCUGCUACCUUGGGUUCCCCUGAAGUUUCUCAAAAAAUUAUUUGAAAUUAAAAACGAAGUAUGCUCUUAAAACAA